rnacentral:tRNA from 2 species
AGCCCUUGUGGCUCAGUGGUAGAGCAUCCCCUUGGUAAGGGGAAGGUCGCGAGUUCAAUUCUCGCCAAGGGCUU